rnacentral:lncRNA from 1 species
AGAAGAUUCAACAGAAGGGAAAAAAGGAGAUAGGAAGAAAGGAAUUCGUUAUAAGCCACCAAAAUAUUAUUCAAUCAUCAAUUAAAAAUUACAAUUUAAAGUAUGUUUAAAUAGUAAAGCAAAUCCUAACGAGAUUGGGCCCGAGCCCAUACAAGUCCAAUUUUCUAAAUAAUAGUCCAACAAAAUAAAUAAAGCUUAACUAGAAAAUAAAAUAAAUAAAUAUUCAAUGUCCUCAUCAAAAGCACUUCAAACUUUGUCUUUGCGCACCUCUAGGGAAAUUGAUGAUAUGGACUUUUGAUCUGCAUUCCUAAUAAUUGGAAUCAUCAAGCCCCGAAAUCCAUAGAGAAUAUAAUGAGAUCAAUGUUGGGCAAUUUCAAUUAUUCCAAGAAUAAAUUUACCAAUCCAAGCAAUUAACAAGAAUGAUAAACUAUGCAAAUAAAUAAUCAAAGAAAAAAAUAAAAAAACGCAACACCAAAUUUUUACGUGAAAAAACCCUCCAAUGUAGAGGGGAAAAAAAACCACGGGGCAACUCCGGCCAAAAAUCCACUAUAAUAAUAAUAUAAGUUACAAUAUUCAAGUUUGUGCCCCCAAAACUUGAAUUCUCCACAAAUUGAAAUACCACAAUAAUUAAUCUCUAAGACAAUAAUUUAUCUCACCACAAAUCACCAAAUUAAUUAACCUUGUGAGAACCCACUUUGAAUACAAAUCCAAAAAUAUAUCUUAGAGAAAUUUUCAAUAUAUAUAAUGUAGAAAAGAAAAAGUAAACACGUGUGAUAUCACACUUCAAGAAGAAAUUGAGCAACCACUUUAUUUAAUUAAUCAAUUUCCAUCUUUUUCUUCUCUCCAGAUUUUCUCGGCCUGCAGUCUUUCUCUCAGCAACAAUAUGAUUGCUUUUUCCUCAAUGGAGCCACAAACUUUGACUCUUCUUUCUCACAAUUGAAAGCCUUUUUCUCUCACAACUUGGAAGUCACAAGAUUUUCUCUCUCUC